AUGUAUAGCAGUACCUGCAAUAAUGCUAGUGAAUGCUGUAAGCUGAAUGUGGCUGCUGAAGAAACCAGAGCUGAUUGCUGAAAAUGCUGAAGCCGAAAGCUUUUUUAGAAAUAUUAGUGUAAUGGGUGACACCUGUAGGGUGUGGUUCGGCCAUUAAGGCCCCUUUAAAUAGGAGUGGGCGGGGCUGCCCAGCUGUGCCAGAUUCUUGUGGGUGGUCAGGUGGGCUGCCAGGCCCACACUGUUUGUGCGACAGCUGUUAACCCUUGGGCCAUUUUAAGCCGACACAAACCUCUGGAGUCGGUCAGCAGAAGAGUUGAGGCGUUUGUGGAUCUCCGGAGAACAUUUCCAGCGAAGCCUGCGAGGAGCAGGGAGCUCGCUCACGCUCGCAGCCCUGACCAGCUUUGACGGGCUCCCAAUCCUGAGGGGAAAACCGAAUCUGCAAUCGACGUCUAAAACGCACAACAAACAAACGGAUGGGACUUACAUGUAUUUGAGGAGACCUGCAUGGGCUUGUCGUACCAGCGGUUUCCCCCAUUUUUGGGCGCUCCUCCUCCGUGCAGCAUCAGCGUGGCGCGCGUGGCGUCACUCAGCUCAGGACCACUGGCCUCAUCCAGGCAGAGCAGACACAUGCUGCGCUCGAUCAUGUCAAGGGAGUCCCUGUUGGUUGAUUCUAGAGAAGGAGGAGUGAUGUAGAGUUUGUCUUUAGAGGAAAACAAUCUUUUUUUUUUUUUUUUUAUGUACCUCUUAUGAGAAUGCUGCGAGCUUCUGCCCACUCUGUCCUUCCAUCUGCAGUGAGGAGACCCACCGGCGGGAGACGCUCCUCCUCGCUUUCUGCCAUCUUCUUGAUCUUCUCCAGCUGAGUCAGCAGGUCUCUCUCAUUGAGUCGGCGGAAGUUGAUCACCACGUCCAGAACGAAGAACUGCACAGAGUCAACUGAAGCCCUGAAGUUCUGCUGUGGGAAAACCAUCACAGGACUGGAGUUGACGGGCAGAGCUGCUCGGUUGUUCAGAUUUGUCCAACUUUGAAAUGAAAAUGAAGAUGGAUUCCAUGAAAGCUUCACCCAGUUUGCUGUCUUCUCCCUCUUCUCCACGAGUUUGCUCUGCAGAAGCUCCCCCGCCCCUCCAGGGGCUCCAAACUGCCUCACUAUCCUAUGAGUCUUGUUGAACUGCUCUUCAGUGAGCAGGUGCUUCACACAUCUGAGGUACGUGUCCAGUGUGUCUUUCAGGUCCGGCAGGGGAAGCUUUGGAAGACCCUGAUGACGUGGGCAAAAAAAACGACACUUUUGAGUCUUAAAAUGUAGUAAAAUAUCCAGAAUUUCUGCUUCCCAUGUUCAAUAAAACAAUGAAAAAACA